rnacentral:misc_RNA from 1 species
GAUCGACGACGAACGGCCGGGCGUCUGUCUAAAGCGACACAUGGCCCAGCCGCUCCGUCGACGACGAUCGCGUGAAGCUCCACAGGUCGUCGUCGCCGCCGCCGAGCAGCCUGUUGGCGGCAGCGGAGUAGAAGCAGGCGAGGCCGCCGCCGUCCGCGCUGGCGUCGAAGCAGCUGCCGAGCUGGUCCGCGGCGGGUGCCUGCCCGUUGAGGUGCAACGCCACCAUCCGGUCCAUCAUGACCCAGUCCGUGAUCCCGUUCCCGGCGCGGUGGAGGCCGUCGAGGGCCCCGGCGGCGGUGGCGUCGCCUGCAGAGACGGCGUGCGGCGUCGUC